GUUGUCACCGUCUUGCAAAAGAACGUGUAAAGCUCGAUGAAUGAGAAAGGAAAAAGAAAAUGGCUACCAGUUUUGGAGUGUGACCAAACUUUAGGCAAUAGUUGGGAGGAAGGAGUCUUCAAGAACAGGGAGUAAGAAGAAUAGAAUUUUGAAGGAAAGAAGAAAAAAGAUGUAUCAAUUAAAACCAUUAGAUUUUCCACGUUGAUUUUAUUUUGUGCACUCAUUUGCUCUUAUGCUCGUGAAUUAACAUCCUCUGCUGAUUGUGUAUUUUUGUAUUUAAAUGUUAAAUUUUUUUAAAAUUCAUAAAAAAAUUAAUUGAGAUGUCUGUUAGGC
rnacentral:misc_RNA from 1 species